rnacentral:rRNA from 1 species
AUCGAACGCUGGCGGCAGGCUUAACACAUGCAAGUCGAGCGAGCGGCGGACGGGUGAGUAAUGUCUGGGAAACUGCCUGAUGGAGGGGGAUAACUACUGGAAACGGUAGCUAAUACCGCAUACCGCCAUUUCUGCCCAGAUGGGAUUAGCGAGUAGGUGGGGUAAUGGCUCACCUAGGCGACGAUGCCUAGCUGGUCUGAGAGGAUGACCGGCCACACUGGAACUGAGACACGGUCCAGACGCCUACGGGAGGCAGCAGUGGGGAAUAUUGCACAAUGGACGCAAGCCUGAUGCAGCAAUGCCGCGUGUGUGAAGAAGGCUUUCGGGUUGUAAAGCACUGUCAGCGGGGAGGCGGUACUCGCAGAAGAAGCACCGGCUAACUCCGUGCCAGCAGCCGCGGUAAUAC